AGACCCGAAACCCGGUGAUCUAGCCAUGGGCAGGUUGAAGGUUGGGUAACACUAACUGGAGGACCGAACCGACUAAUGUUGAAAAAUUAGCGGAUGACCUGUGGCUGGGGGUGAAAGGCCAAUCAAACCGGGAGAUAGCUGGUUCUCCCCGAAAGCUAUUUAGGUAGCGCCUCGUGAAUUCAUCUCCGGGGGUAGAGCACUGUUUCGGCUAGGGGGCCAUCCCGGCUUACCAACCCGAUGCAAACUGCGAAUACCGGAGAAUGUUAUCACGGGAGACACACGGCGGGUGCUAACGUCCGUCGUGAAGAGGGAAACAACCCAGACCGCCAGCUAAGGUCCCAAAGUCAUGGUUAAGUGGGAAACGAUGUGGGAAGGCCCAGACAGCCAGGAUGUUGGCUUAGAAGCAGCCAUCAUUUAAAGAAAGCGUAAUAGCUCACUGGUCGAGUCGGCCUGCGCGGAAGAUGUAACGGGGCUAAACCAUGCACCGAAGCUGCGGCAGCGACACUCAGGUGUUGUUGGGUAGGGGAGCGUUCUGUAAGCCUGUGAAGGUGGCCUGUGAGGGUUGCUGGAGGUAUCAGAAGUGCGAAUGCUGACAUAAGUAACGAUAAAGCGGGUGAAAAGCCCGCUCGCCGGAAGACC
rnacentral:rRNA from 1 species